rnacentral:lncRNA from 1 species
UUAGGGUUAGGGUUAAAGGGAAAGGAAACUUAACUUCAUAUGGAAAGGAAACUUAACUUCAAAGGAAACUUAACUUCAAAUUUAAACUUUUCUUAAAACAAAAUGCUGAUUGUUUUAAUAAAAAUUAAAAUAAAAUGUAUUUCCAACUGUUUUUAAAUGGUUUUAAAUAUUUUUAAAUGUUUUUUAAGUUUUAAUCUAGUUUUUAAAUGUUUUUAGAUUUUUUUGUUAUUUUUUAAACUUUUUUUCUCUAAAUAAACUAUGUACAAUCAAAUAUGUGUGCCCACGACAACGUUUCGACCCCUUGUGGGUCUUCUUCAGGUCUGGCACACCUCACUCAACAAAAAAACUCUCUCUUGAAUGAAAAACAAAAGAUGCUGGCUGGUAAUUCUAAAGAUGUUCUCUCUUCAAGCUUCUGAGUGGAAAUGAAAGCCCUACCAACUUUUCUCCCUUUUUAUACCCUCAGACAAUAAUUAGAGUGAAUUUACUUAUAUUUAAGUUAUUUUCUGCUCUAUUUAGUUUUUGAAAUGUUAACCCUUUCUGCACCGUUUGUGCUUUUAAUCCAUAUUAAUUAUGUUUAUUCACAUAUUUGUGCUUUAAUAAACAUAUUAAUAGGUAUUUUUUAAUCCCAAGAUUAGGGUUACGGUCCUGCUUGACCUUUGACCUCUGUGGCCUGCUUGGCCGUUGGUCAUUAAGUUGCCUCUAAUGGUUAGGGUUAGGGUUAGGGGUUAGGGUUAGGGUUAAGGUUAGGAGGCUCCCACUUCUCCUAUGUGUCCUGAAGAGCAAACAUCUCACAGACAUACUCAGACAAGUCCGGACAUGUUUCUUUUUGUGCCCAUAGCCUGAAGAAGACCCACAGCGGUCGAAACGUUGCAACUGGGCACUCUUUAUCACACCUUUUCUUUAUUUCUUCCUCCUCAUAGGCAUUUUAUUUGGUUUUCUUUCUUUUAUUUCAUUUUGAUUUCAGAAAACAACAAAAAAAGCAUAAAAAAAUUAAAGAACAAUUCAUUUUUUAUAUACAGUUUUUGUUUUAAAUAUUUUUUCAUUUCAUUAGAUUAAUAAAUAGAUAGAUAAAUACACAAAUAAAUAAAUACAUAGUUUAAUAAAUACAGUACAUUAAUAAAUAGUAAUAAAUAAUUAAAAAGAUUAAAAACAAUCAUGAAUUAUGAGCAACAAGACUGGACUGAAGUGCGGUACGGGAAAAGGCGUGGUCGACGCCCGUACCGCACUAAUAAUCAGCAAUACCAAACGGGGUCGUGGGGGACGGGGAACAGGGGGAUGGACCGUGCACCUCCUGUCUCCUAUCCUGGUUGAAGUCCGUAACCUUUAUGAGACAGAUAUCAUUGUGUGAGGACAGCAGGAUGUUCUCUGGCUUCAGGUCUCGGUGGAUUAUUCCAUUGGUGUGGAGGUACUGGACGGCUCUCAGCAUCUGGUAAAAGUAAAGUUUGGCGAUUGACUCCUUCAGCUGCCCCUGGGACUUCACUUUUUGGAAAAGUUCUCCUCCUUCCAUGAGCUCCAAGACAAUGUAGUAGCUGUCCUCUGUCUGAUAGAAGUCUUCUGUCUUUGUGAGGCAAGGAUGGUUCACUCGCUGCAGAAUUUCAAUCUCUGUCUCCGCAUUUCGCGUUGCUGUCCCUUCAGACUGAAAAUUCUUCUUGUUUAUUAUUUUCACUGCAAAUUUUUUGCAGGUGGAUCUCUCGAAGGCUAGUUUUACUUCACCACACACCCCUGUGCCAACCUGCCGAGUCAGUACGUAUUUUCUUUGCAACUCCUGCGGGAGAGCUGACUGACUGUCAGACAUCAGAUCGAUGAAGACAAAGACUUUGUUGCUUUGCUCAGACAGAGCGAGCACAGCGUUGUUGACGAGAGGGUUAGGUUUGGGAAAGAAUCCCGUCUCCCCUAGAAUGACCCUACUUGGGUCUGCGGGGAGCGGGGAAUGCACGGGCCUUCGCCCACUGGACACGCUCCCCCGGUCCCCCAGGAAACACGACUUGUGCUUAAUAAAUGUUGUUGUUGACUUGGUUUUAAUGUGUUGUGUUAUUGUUUUUAAAUAUUUUCCAAUUUUUU